rnacentral:rRNA from 1 species
UAGUUCGCUACAUGAGCAGCAGAGGGUCAUUACAAGUGACCCCGGUCUAACCACCGGGAUGUUCAUAACCCUUUGUUGUCCGACUCUGUUGCCUCCGGGGCGACCCUGCCUUCGGGCGGGGGCUCCGGGUGGACACUUCAAACUCUUGCGUAACUUUGCAGUCUGAGUAAACUUAAUUAAUAAAUUAAAACUUUUAACAACGGAUCUCUUGGUUCUGGCAUCGAUGAAGAACGCAGCGAAAUGCGAUAAGUAAUGUGAAUUGCAGAAUUCAGUGAAUCAUCGAAUCUUUGAACGCACAUUGCGCCCCCUGGUAUUCCGGGGGGCAUGCCUGUUCGAGCGUCAUUUCACCACUCAAGCCUCGCUUGGUAUUGGGCAACGCGGUCCGCCGCGUGCCUCAAAUCGACCGGCUGGGUCUUCUGUCCCCUAAGCGUUGUGGAAACUAUUCGCUAAAGGGUGCUCGGGAGGCUACGCCGUAAAACAAACCCAUUUCUAAGGUUGACCUCGGAUCAGGUAGGGAUACCCGCUGAACUUAAGCAUAUCAAA